rnacentral:rRNA from 1 species
UACAGAGGUCUCAAGCGUUGUUCGGAUUCAUUGGGCGUAAAGGGUGUCGUAGGCGGCGCGGUAAGUCGGGUGUGAAAUUCGUGAGCUUAACUCCGAAACUGCAUUCGAUACUGCCGUGCUUGAGGACUGGAGAGGAGACUGGAAUUUACGGUGUAGCGGUGAAAUGCGUAGAUAUCGUAAGGAAGACCAGUGGCGAAGGCGGGUCUCUGGACAGUUCCUGACGCUGAGCACGAAGGCCAGGGGAGCAAACGGG